rnacentral:rRNA from 1 species
GACAGAGGGUGCAACCGUUGUUCGGAAUUACUGGGCGUAAAGCGCGUGUAGGCGGCUCUGCAAGUCGGAUGUGAAAGCCCUGGGCUUAACCCGGAAAGGUCAGCCGAUACUGCGGGGCUAGAGUGCAGAAGGGGCAACUGGAAUUCUCGGUGUAGCGGUGAAAUGCGUAGAUAUCGAGAGGAACACCUGCGGCGAAGGCGGGUUGCUGGGCUGACACUGACGCUGAUGCGCGAAAGCUAGGGGAGCGAACGGG